rnacentral:rRNA from 1 species
UAACCCCUACGGGGGGCAGCAGUAGGGAAUCUUCCACAAUGGACGAAAGUCUGAUGGAGCAACGCCGCGUGAGUGAAGAAGGGUUUCGGCUCGUUAAGCUCUGUUGGUAGUGAAGAAAGAUAGAGGUAGUAACUGGCCUUUAUUUGACGGUAAUUACUUAGAAAGUCACGGCUAACUACGUGCCAGCAGCCGCGGUAAUACGUAGGUGGCAAGCGUUAUCCGGAUUUACUGGGUGUAAAGGGAGCGGAGACGGUGCAG